rnacentral:lncRNA from 1 species
GUGUAUUGAUUUAGUGCUAUGUGGUUUCAUUUUUUUAUUAUUAUUAAUUUUACUAAUUUUUUUUUUAAAUUAGUGACGAAGUUAAAACUAAAGAGUAUUAAAGUGACUAUUCGAUAAACUUAGGUGGGUAUCUGAAGUUUUUGUAUUUUAUUUUACUAAAUAUUAAUGCAGAAGUUUACAAAAAGAAAAAAAAAAUAAAACCAUACGGUACUAAAUUGAUACACUUUAAAUCAUAGGAUACUAAAAUGAGAAAGUGCGAAACCACAUCCUACUGGGAUGGUAUUUGAAGUUUAUCCUUAAUAAAAUUGGCCCACUUAAAUUUUUAAUAGAAAAAUAUUAUUAUUGUAUUUUUUUUCAAAAAAAAUAUUAUUGAUUUGUUAUUAAUUAUAUGGUAUAAAUAUGACACCGUAAAUUUUCUCUAGAUGAUGGGUGGGUGAUGGUUGA